GCAGAUUUGGCCGAGUGGUCUAAGGCGGUGGCCUUAAGUUCUAUCUUUCUCGAAAGAAGUGACCUCAAUCCACUGGAGCAAUCCGCAUGAGUUCGAACCUCAUAGUCUGCA